GAUGAACGCUGGCGGCGUGCCUAAUACAUGCAAGUCGAGCGAACGGACGAGAAGCUUGCUUCUCUGAUGUUAGCGGCGGACGGGUGAGUAACACGUGGAUAACCUACCUAUAAGACUGGGAUAACUUCGGGAAACCGGAGCUAAUACCGGAUAAUAUUUUGAACCGCAUGGUUCAAUAGUGAAAGACGGUCUUGCUGUCACUUAUAGAUGGAUCCGCGCUGCAUUAGCUAGUUGGUAAGGUAACGGCUUACCAAGGCAACGAUGCAUAGCCGACCUGAGAGGGUGAUCGGCCACACUGGAACUGAGACGCGGUCCAGACUCCUACGGGAGGCAGCAGUAGGGAAUCUUCCGCAAUGGGCGAAAGCCUGACGGAGCAACGCCGCGUGAGUGAUGAAGGUCUUCGGAUCGUAAAACUCUGUUAUUAGGGAAGAACAUAUGUGUAAGUAACUGUGCACAUCUUGACGGUACCUAAUCAGAAAGCCACGGCUAACUACGUG
rnacentral:rRNA from 1 species